rnacentral:rRNA from 1 species
UACGUAGGGGGCAAGCGUUGUCCGGAAUUAUUGGGCGUAAAGCGCGCGCAGGUGGUUUCUUAAGUCUGAUGUGAAAGCCCACGGCUCAACCGUGGAGGGUCAUUGGAAACUGGGGAACUUGAGUGCAGAAGAGGAAAGUGGAAUUCCAAGUGUAGCGGUGAAAUGCGUAGAGAUUUGGAGGAACACCAGUGGCGAAGGCGACUUUCUGGUCUGUAACUGACACUGAGGCGCGAAAGCGUGGGGAGCGAACGGG